rnacentral:rRNA from 1 species
GCCUACGGGACGCAGCAGUGAGGAAUAUUGGUCAAUGGUCGGGAGACUGAACCAGCCAAGCCGCGUGAGGGAUGAAGGUACAGAGUAUCGUAAACCUCUUUUGUCAGGGAACAAAGGCGGGGACGUGUCCCCGGAUGAGUGUACCUGAAGAAAAAGCAUCGGCUAACUCCGUGCCAGCAGCCGCGGUAAUACGGAGGAUGCGAGCGUUAUCCGGAUUUAUUGGGUUUAAAGGGUGCGCAGGCGGCGAGUUAAGUCAGCGGUAAAAUUUCGGGGCUCAACCCCGACGAGCCGUUGAAACUGGCUUG